GGAUGAGCCCGCGGCCUAUUAGCUUGUUGGUGAGGUAACGGCUCACCAAGGCGACGAUGGGUAGCUGGUCUGAGAGGACGGCCAGCCACACUGGAACUGGUACACGGUCCAGACUCCUACGGGAGGCAGCAGUGAGGAAUAUUGCGCAAUGGGGGAAACCCUGACGCAGCGAUGCCGCGUGGGUGAAGAAGGCCUUCGGGUCGUAAAGCCCUGUCAAGCGGGAAGAAUAGCUCUGAGGCGAAUAACCUCAGGGUGUGACUGUACCGCUGAAGGAAGCACCGGCUAACUACGUGCCAGCAGCCGCGGCCG
rnacentral:rRNA from 1 species